rfam:Streptomyces cellostaticus strain DSM 40189 genomic scaffold PRJNA299219_s051, whole genome shotgun sequence.
CUUCACCGAGCCGAGCCACAAAGGCCGGUGCGGAUCCCGGCCCUGUCCGUAGGUCGCGAGCAGCGCCUCCGCCUC